rnacentral:lncRNA from 1 species
ACGAGUCACCUUAAUUAUCUUCAGUGUCAUUUUGGAAAAUAAACAUUAUUCUUCCACCAACAUGUCAUGCACUUUUUCUCCUGCAUAUAAGGAACUCAAUUAGUCACCUCUUUCCCAUACUUUCACUUGACUAAAAAACAAAUAACCAAAACCAUAUUCUUUUUCUAACAAUAUUAUUCAUAUUCAUUCAUUCAUCAACAAAUGGCAACCUCUUGGACUGCAAGGCAGAACAAACUGUUUGAACAAGCAUUGGCUUUAUAUGAUAGAGAAACUCCUGAAAGAUGGCACAAUGUGGCCAAAGUGGUUGGAAAAUCAGUUGAAGAUGUUAAGAGUCACUAUGAGAUCCUCAAAGAAGAUGUUCAACGUAUUGAGCAUGGCCAUAUCCCUUUUCCUCGUUACAAAACUAACACCAACUCCUAAGGUAUAAUAUAUGUACUGCUGCUACACAUUUUCAUUUUCUAUGACCAUGUUCUUAAAUUAAUAUGUUUUUGAGGGAAGUCUAAAAGAGGCUACACUCUUUGGAUUAUGAGUCCCUAAACUUAAUUAGAUAUUAAAGCCUAAUAUAUUAAACACGUAUAUUAAAUCCCCUAAACUAAGUUUAGCUAAAAUUUAGAAACUAAACCCACUUUAGUUGAUAUGGUAGUAUUGAUUUGGGACUUGAGAGUUUUCUUAAGGUAUUAGGUUCGUUUCUUCCGAUACCAAUUUAGGUAGGCUAAUUUAACUUCUUUAAAAAAAAAACUAAAAUUUAGAAACUAUAAUAAGAUUUGUCGCUGUAUUUCAAAUUUUUUAUUAUCUUUACAAACAUAUAAGCACCCUAAAUUGUGCAGAAUAAGCAACUGUUUUUUAAAAUAAACCAUCUCAUAAUAUUGAGGUUUACCAUAAUAUAAAAUCUCUUUCAAAAAAUUACUCUAUGAUUGCCGUGUACUUAAAGUACUUGCUGCUAUGCGGGGUCCAUAUUGAAUGGGAUAAGAAUUUGGGAAUAGAUGUUUAAAAAGUGUGACAGAUAUCGUUGUCCUAAGAGUAUUGGUUAAACAUCCAAAAUAAGUAAGUUUUUAAUAAAAUGUUGUGUAAUCAUAACUUGAUAAAAAAUAAUAUCUUAUAUUUUUAAGACAAAAUUUUUAUUUGUAGAUUUCUUAACUAAUGCUCUAAGGACACUAGUUAGCAAAAUCGUAGUUUUAUAUAUGUGGUUCAUAACUUACUUCAUAUGUACAUUUAUAUGUUUAAUUUUUCCUUAGGAAUUGUCUUGUUCAUCCAACUACAAUAUGUCCAUCCAUGCACUUAAACAAUGACUUAUGACUUGUCGGUGCACUUAAUAAUGAAAAAUUGAUGAUCCUAAUCAUAUAUCCUAUAUUGUCCAUCGAAUAAACUAUAAAAUAUCAAUGGCCCCAAGCUUGCUGGUUCAAACAAAUGCACGUGCUUGAAGUUUGAAUUCCAAAGAGGAAAAAAAGUGAAUAAUUUCUAAUUUGUGCAAAAUGAAAAGUGUGUAUAUAUUGGAUAGCUUGUUACAUAUCUGUGCAAUUAACUUUAUAACCUUUCUUCAAUUUUAUAUGCAAAAACAAAAAGAAAGAAGCAAAGAACAUUCUUAUUCUUGUAUAAUAAGUAUUUGAAAAUUUUGGAUUCAAUAUUUUAACAAGUUAAUCUUUUCCUAUAUGCUUCGCAGGUUCUUGAAGAUAUAUCCAGAACACAAUAAGCUUGAAUAACCAACCAAUAUUUGGUGUAUCUUUAAUAAACAACAAUGCAUACUAGUAUAUCUUUGGCGCAAGCUAUAGAACACACUAAUUGCACCCUGCCAAGUGAAUGUGGCAAUCUUCUAUCUAUCAACAUAUUUCCUUAAUUUCUUUCUAUAGCUAGUCAAAUUAAUUGUAUUCCUCACCCUUUAAUUUCCUUACAUUGUACCAAAAAUAAAAAAUAUUGUAUUUAGAUUAAUUUAAUUCAUUAUUGUAAGUUUAUGAAGGAUUGAAUUCUAAAUAUCAUGUUUUAUCUUUCAUUCUUUGUACUUUUAUUUUCUUUUAGUACAAAUUUGGAACAAAGUUAAACCGAGUGAUUAAUGAACUUCAGUAAAAAAAACUAAUCGUUCAAAAACAAAAAGUGUUUGAAUUAUGAUUGAAAUAGUCAUCAACAACAUUAUAUUUACCUUAUGUCAAACUAUGAAUUACUAGUAUACUCUUCCCUCUUACAUCAAAAAGAAAAUGAUACUCUUCGCCUUGGAAACUGAAGGGUUAAACCAAAAUAUAUACGACAAUUUUUAAUUCAGAGGGAAUAACGUACUCAAAAUACUGUAUGAUAAGAAAAUGAAAAGUAAAUAUAAAUUGUAAAAUAGAAAUAUAAAAUGUAACAUAUAUUGCUCAAACCCUUUUUUUUUAUGUCCAUAGACAAUGUGACAAGAACCACUAAAACUCACACAUAGAGAUUCAAGAUCCUAAGAUCGGAUCUUGUUGAUAUUAUCAACUGAGCUAGGUCUCACAAACUUGGUCAGACACUCUUUAUUCAACAAAAAGACAUAUAAUGCUCAAAAACCCUCUUUAAAAAAAAAACCUCUUUCUAAUUAAUACUAAAUUUUUAUUUUUGAAUUAUUUACUAUGUGAUUCAAAGCACAAGUUAACAAGACCUAUAUAAUACUUCAAUGACAUUAGUUUGUCAUUUGUCAUGUUUUCUAUGUUGGAAACAAACUAUCAAAAAGAGUAAGUGAUAUCAAGUUCCCAUCCUUUAUAUAUACUUUAUUUCUCGCCAAAAAAUAAAUAACAUUUACUACAAGAAAACAUAAUUUUAGACUCCAAUUUUAGCGUCAGUCCCCGACACCAACACUAAUAGUACCACUUAGAGUCGGAGGGACACACAUUUAUAAUUUUUUUUUGUAGAAAAUGUUAGAGUCGGUCAGACCUAGGGAAUAAGUUGAGAGACCCACAUAUAACGUUGAAGAAUAAUGUUAGCGUCCACGUUCCAGGUCUCUUAGAGUGAGUUUUCUUAUUGUAGUUCUUUUUUAUGUUCUUCAUAUAUGGUAGUUGAUAUAAGACAGAACACGACAAUUUAUUUUCUUGGUCCGGUAAUGUUCAAGAUAUAAAGUGGUACACGUCCACUAAAUGGAUGUAUUCGUUUGCUAUUUUUAUCUGGUUCUAAAAAUCUAAAAAAGAUUGUAUAUUUUCCAAAAAAAAAAUAGUUCCAAACUAAAGCAUAUAUAAUAAAAUCGACCAAAACCGUUUAACUUUUAAUUAAACUUAAGGUUUCAUUCUCCUUCUCAUUAAGUUAAGUAUUUUCUUUUGACUUUAUAAGUAAUUGGUGUGUGAUGAGUCAGACACCAACUUCAAUGGUAACACUAAAAAAUGUUUUUUUAGGAUUUUUUUUUGAAGUGUUACACAAGAAAAGGAACAAGUUAUUUCAAUUCCUUGUUAUCUUAUCUUACAUAUAAAAGUUUUUAAGUUUUUUAGUCAAUUUUUUUGGAGUAAAAAAAUUGUCUUCAAUUUCCUUUCUUUUUUGUUUUUGUUUUAUAAAAAUGAUCUUAUAUAUUAUAUAUAAAAAUUCUUUAGUCUUUUAGACAAUUUUUUGGAGCCAAAAAAUUUGUCGCAUAAUUCCUUCCAAAUUUUUUGCUUUAUUUAUUUUUUUCUUUUUAAAAAAAUGAUCUCUCAUAUAUAAAAGUUCUCAAGUCGUUUAGACAACUUUUUAGAGUCAAAAAAGUUGUGUUCAAUUUCCUUCCUAGUUUUUUGCUUUUGUUUUUUAUUUUCAAAAAAUGAUCUCAUAUAUUAUAAAUAAAAGUCCUUAAGUCUCCUAAAUAAUUAUUUGGAGACAAAAAAAUUUGCAAAUUUUCUUCGUAAUUUUUUGCUUUUAUUUUUGGGUUUUCAAAAAAUAAAUUGAAGAUCAACAUGACAUCUGAAGUGACACUUUUAUAUCACCGUACUAACCACUUGAAUAAGAACCCUCGUUUCAUAAAUGAUAAUUGUUUGCAUUAAUCUCAAUAAAGAGACAGAGGAGAUUCGAAGAAUCCUAAUUGCUGAAAAAACUCUGAAUCAAAACUUUUACUUUUCAGCAAUAAAUUCAACUGUUUUGUGCAAUCAAAUCAAACUUACAAACUACCCCCAAUCAAGACAUUUUAUAGUAACUUGAGUUGGAUUUCUGAAUGGAAUAUUUUUUGGUCAAACUAUAUUUACUUUACGGCCAAACUUUAAAUUACCAUGUCUUGUUCCACAGUGUUAAUACCAAAAGAAAAAUCACAUUAUAGUGUUACUUUCUUAAGUUAUUUUCCAAAUUAUCUUCACAAAUAAUUACAUGGUGUGAUGAUUUGUUUAGUUGCACUUGUAAAAAAAAUUACAUUAUCGAUGCAUACAAAUUAAAGCGUUCAUUUCACAACUUAAAUCGUUUCCAUUUCUAUUCAAAAUGCAUCAAAUUUAGGUGAGUGUUUCUUUGAUCUAGAGAGUUGCUUAACCUUAGGGCACAUGUUAGCAUUGUUAAAUAGUCUUGAAUUUCAUCCCAAAAACUAACUUAAAGGAUGAGGAUACUCAAACAUAUUUAAACACUUGACAUCCCAUGAACCUGAGCAAUGUGAGACAAAUAACAAACUACGAACAUUUUCAAAACCAACUUCAACAAGCAUAACUCUUUUAUGUUUUAUAAAAAAGCAAAAUAUCAUCAAUGAAUUGGCUAAGGCAUGAAGAAAGCCAGCUACAUAACCUCCAACAAGAGCACCAAAAUGAACCACGAAUGGAUGUACACUCCACUUGACAAAGAUAUAUGAAACAUGAUUUAGAAGAAUAUGUAUAAAGGCAUUCAUAUGUCUUUUUUAUAUAGAAUCUCCUCCUCUUCAACUAGCUAGGUGUCAUUUGUGGUUCUUAAGGGAACGAGUCACCUUAAUUAUCUUCAGUGUCAUUUUGGAAAAUAUACAUUAUUCUUCCACCGAACAUGUCAUGCACUUUUUCUCCUGCAUAUAAGGAACUCAAUUAGUAACCUCUUUCCCAUACCUUCACUUGACUAAAAAAUAUAUAACCAAUCAUAUUCUUUUUCUAACAAUAUUAUUCAUAUUCAUUCAUUCAUCAACAAAUGGCAACCUCUUGGACUGCAAGGCAGAACAAACUGUUUGAACAAGCAUUGGCUUUAUAUGACAGGGAAACUCCUGAAAGAUGGCACAAUGUGGCCAAAGUGGUUGGAAAAUCAGUUGAAGAUGUUAAGAGUCACUAUGAGAUCCUCAAAGAAGAUG